rnacentral:misc_RNA from 1 species
GAUGAAGAACGUAGCGAAAUGCGAUACGUAGUGUGAAUUGCAGAAUUCAGUGAAUCAUCGAAUCUUUGAACGCACAUUGCGCCCGCCAGCAUUCUGGCUGGCAUGCCUGUUCGAGCGUCAUUUCAACCCUCGAGCCCCCCCGGGGGCCUCGGUGUUGGGGGACGGCACACCAGCCGCCCCCGAAAUGCAGUGGCGACCCCGCCGCAGCCUCCCCUGCGUAGUAGCACACACCUCGCACCGGAGCGCGGAGGCGGUCACGCCGUAAAACGCCCAACUUUCUUAGAGUUGACCUCGGAUCAGGUAGGAAUACCCGCUGAACUUAAGCAUAUCAAUAAGCGGAGGA